UUUGAAAUCCACUUUUAUAAU
rnacentral:piRNA from 1 species